UAAAAACCGCCAACGAGCUACAGUGACCAGCCGUUUCGACUUACUUUCAGAAAAUUAAAGUCCGUCACGGCGUACUUCUUAAAUCUUGGCAGGGGACCUUCGUGUGGAUACUUGAGAGUUUAGUAAUUUGUCUGGACUUUAUAGAAAUUUGAGAACUGAGGAGCAGGAGGUUUAGAAAUUUUAUGAAUGUGGAAUAUGGAAAUUUGGUAUCAGUUUGAUUCCAAUCCUCCGCCAAUGUUUUGAAGCCAAGGCAAACACGCUGGAUCUUGGCUGGCUAAGAUUUUUCGAAAAUAGAGUUCUCUGACGCGAGAUGAAGUUGUAAUUGAUCGAUUAGGCAGAAAGAUUACGGCGUAUGCGGGACCGAUUUAACGAUGAUUUUUGAUCUGGACCGCGGUAUCGUCCAUUGGCCACGAAAAUUAUUUAGUAACCGCAGAAAAUGGAUUUAUGAUUGCCACGUGGAAUUUUGACGAAGCAAUGAAGCCAGCCAAGUCUGUCUAGACGGCCAAAAACUUGGAAUCAAAUUCGUGAAAUACGGCGAGUUAAUUCGAGCAGAAAAAAGUAAACAGCACUGGACAAGAUAUACAUAUUUUUCUGCAACCUUGUUGUUAUAAAUGCAAAGUGACGCAAGAUGGUUUCUUCGAUAAAUUGAUAGUCUGACGACAAUGCGUGGAGCAAUGAGAACCUCUGAUGUACUACUUCCUGAAGUGUCUUGUGAUGUGGUGUCAUUGACCCUGUGAUAGUGACCUUAUAUAAUAUGCAACUGGCGUCGCAUGUGCACCUGAUACUUUUGAGGGUACCGAGGUGACAGCUGAAUCGUUUUCUAAUAUUCUGGCAGGCCGUGAAAGAGCUAUGCCAAAGAUCCUUGACCAUAGACAUUGCGACUGUUGCCACCAUAUGAAUAUGGUUAGGUCAUUAUGAAGAGUAUCGAAGAACUCCCCCUACUGGGUCUAAUCCAACCUACAUCGUACUUUUUGCUUCAGUGAAAAUUGCCCGAUGAAUUGAUUUACUCAUAGGUAUUCUGGCUGACUUAGAAUCACGAGAUUUCGUUGGACGGAUUCCAACAGAAACAUUUUUUCUUCUCGGAAUACACCAGAAUUUGUUGAACACCGAGAGUGAAUUACGGUGGACCAACAAACAAAUAUGCAACUUCAAACAAAUACCAAGGCAUAUCUUUUGAAGCCAAAUUGUGACGCAGAAAAAAGUAAGAAUGUAAGCCCACACGUUAGUGAAACAAAAGCUUGUUAGCUAUAUUAGGUACACACAAAUUUUAUACUCUGAUGUUCAUUAUCGAGCCGCCAAUCUGAACCAAACUAAAAUGCCAAGAUUCAUCGAAGCGGCGAAUACAUCAUCGUUUACAAUCACCGCCCACGCCCGAUGAGGCGAUAAAUUUUCACGGAUUUAGUAAACUUCCUGGCAGAUCGGUUAAACAGAGGUCAAGAGUCCUGAAGCAAGACAAAUGCAACAAGCAGAGUGUCGGAAUUAUGCAACACGUUAGGGUGGGCGAGUAGGGAGGGGCAAAGGACCGGUGUACACCGAGAUUGUUUGCCAAUGGGGUCCUCGACCGCCUGACGUGGCUCUGCAUUCUUGGAACCAGCGAAACUGAACUCCCUGUUAACUACCUUCGCCACUUUAGGACUGUCCGGACCUUUGAUCUCGCUCCAGAAGUCUAUGGACUCGGAUGACGCAUCUUGUUGAUCAAACUCUCGUCCACGGAAGUGGACUGUUUCAAAGACUUGGAAUCCUCCGCAUGAACACUGGGUUGAACGUCGACGCU